CAAGACUUUUAGGUGUUCAUGCUGUUACUCAGAAUCAAAGUUAGCAUAUUUCAAUAUCAUCAAGGUGUUUGAUAUGAUGUCGGAGCAAACCCCUAUAUGUACUAGAAUAGUAAAAUGUCUUCUCUCUCACGGGGCUGCAAGAACAGAAUGUAAUAUUUCUGUAUUUGCAGUCUUGGUGUUCAUCAUCUGGGCAGUUUUUUUUUUUUUUUCUUGUGUGGUUUCAAAAAUCUAUCACAUACUAAUGCUGCAGCAGAAGGGAGCUAUGAAAUCCUCACAAGUUUUUGUAAAGUAAGAAAUGUCCUGGUCAGAAGAAAACAAACAAACUUUGUUCUUGUUCUAACCACCUCAGGUAAAAUAGCAAUUUCUCUGUUCAAGUCUGUAUUGAUAUUAAGAUGUGUAAAAAGCUAAGUAAAAGAACACUUUUCUACAAUGAGGGAGAAACAUUGAGACAUACAAGUCUGAAAUUCAUUGAGGCCACAUCCACACGAAGCCCAACAAAGAUGAAUUAAGAUAUCCACACAGAAAUGUUUGAGUGUAACGAUGAAACCGCCUGAAGCCGAACAAGCCGUAAUAUACAGUACAUUAUAAUAUGUAUGCCACACCAGUGGGUGGCGCAGUAUACCUUGCUGAAGUGCUGUAGGAAGAACAGGAAGAAAAAUGGCAACUGCUAUCACUGUCGGAGUAAGAAAAUAAGCUUUUAUUUGGACCGAUGACGAGGUAGAACUUCUCCUCUGGGCUACGCUUUGACUAAAAGACCAGGAAAGCACAAAACAUGUCAGGGGAGCUGCCACUGCCUGGGCCACCAUAUUGUCAUUAAAGACCAUGGCACGACGAGGGAGAACAGAAAACUCCAGAGCCACAUCUCAUGAGGCCCGACGGCUCCACUGAGGACAGCUCCCGGUUCCAGCCACAGCUUUGCCCAAACAAAUAAACAGAAUUUCAGAUUGCUAGGCAGACAGACACUUGUGUACAGGUUUGGUACAUGCAUUUUCAAAAGCGGAGGAGAAAAAAAUAAGUUUUUUUUUUUUAAGGUAUACUUUUAGUCUCCUGAGACAGAGCGUAGACUGGAUUCUGUUUACCUCUGCGUAACACCUGAGACAAAAUUCUCUGUGUUAGAUUUUCUUGGAG